ACUGGCUGAGGUCCACUCACUGCUCCUGGAGGCCACCUGCUGCUUCUUGCUGUGGGAACCAUCUUACGGCCCCUCUCUGCCCCUCUCCUUAGCUGAGCCUCUUGAAGACCCGCAGGAGACCAUCCUCUCCAUUCCAGCAGGAACAGUUACCUCCUGUGUCUUCUCAUCCUUGAAGACUCACCUCAACCAACACCUUCUUCAGAAAAUCCUCGCUGGUGUCCUUCCUUCUCAUUCUCUCCUCCACAGCCUAGGUAAGUUACCCUUCCUUUGUCUCCUCAGGUGACUGAGCAGCUAUCCCUGUGUGGACAUCAUGGAGGCUAAGAUACUCUUGUGUCGUAUUAUCUACCCUAGAGGUGAAUCACAAUUAUCUGCUGUAUUAUUUAUGUAUUGCCGUGUGACAAAUUACCCCAAAACUUAGAGGCUGGGAACAUUUAUCUAUCAUCUUGAAGUUACUAGAGAUCAGAAACUGGGGAGUGACUUUGCUGGGUAGUGCUGACUCAGAAUCUCUCUUGAGGUUGCUGCCGGAAAGUCAGUGCGAUGCCGUCAACUGAAAGCUUAACAAGGACUGGAGGGUCUGCUUCCAAGCUUUCUCACGCGGCUGUG
rnacentral:lncRNA from 1 species